UGUUUAAGAUUUUAUUUAUUUGACACGCAAAGACAGCGAGAGAGGGAAGACAAGCUGGGGCAGUGGGAAAGGGAAAAGCAGGCCAGGGAGCCUGACAUGGGGCUGGAUCCCACGACCUUGGGAUCAUGACCUAAGCGGAAGGCAGACGCUUAUCGAUUGAGCCACCCAGGCACCCUAAUAUGUUUUGGGUUUUAAUUUUCUGCAGUCUUCAUAAUUAGAAAAAGAAGCGCAACUUUAGCACAAAACAAUGUUUCUUCAGCGAAAACCUGAGUGGGUGGGCAGCGCUGGCCAGGGCGCCCUGACUGGUGGUCCUCCACCUGGGGCAGUCCCCGCGGAGGAGGGCGGUGCAGGGGUGGGCGCGGCACGGCGAAGAUCGCCCGUCUUCUCAUCGCUGCCCUCGGUUCCCUCGGCGGAAGCCACGAGACUCACUGAGCUGGCGACACCCCGGCGGCGGAGGGUCAGAGGCAGGAAGAGGAGCCGGGUAGCGGGCCACUGGCGGGGCCGGGCGGGGGCGGGGCCUCGCGGCGCGUGGCCAAUGGAGCGGGCGGGAUUUGUGGGUCGGGGCCAGGACGGCGGGAGCUCUGCGUACCCCGCUGGGGCAGGUUUCUAACCUCCGCAGCCCGGGCGACGCCUCCUUAUCCCUCCGCCGGAACGUGCGAGCUUUCCUGCCCCGCUGAACCCGCGCCGCUCCGGUUCCGCCGCCCACGCGGCGACUGCCCGGGCCAUCACCCGAUGGGAGGGCAGCGGGGUAAAUGGGACCAUCACUCGAGGGAGGGCAGCGGGGCAAAUGGGACCACGUGCCCUUAGGGAAGCGGCCAUUCCUAACUCCCAGCCACUCCUGCAGCGGUGGGGCCCUAAGGAACCUGUUCAAGGGGGACCAGGACUAGAAGACUGGCUGUCCAGCCCCAGGCAGCAGUGCCUCCUGGAGAUAAACACAGGGCUGUGCAUACCCUCCAAGAGGACGCAGCCAGCCUGGGAGGAGUCAGAGGAGGCUUCUAGAGAAAGUGCUAUCGCAGGGACUCCCACUACAUGGAGAUUUGGACCAUGUGACCCUAAGGAUCCUUGCAGUGCUGCCUGCUGGCUCCUAGUGGCUGCAGCUCCUGCUCCUGUGGUUGCCCCUGUGGACCGAAGUGGCCUGGGAGAUGAGGCAAAGCCAAGCCUUGGAAAAGGCCAGUUUCCAGUCUGGAAAGCAGAGUGUGCCAGCUGGGUAAGGGGCUUCUGGGAAGGAGGGUUGGGGGAGGCCCUCCACUCCUACUGCUCUGCCUGGGCUGGGGGAAGGGCCUUUAUUCCUUCCCCUCCUUGGAGGCAGGGGCCACCUGGGGCAUGGGAGGAGGGGUGGCUUAAGACUGCCAGUUUCCACUUGGAAGCCCUCUUUAUUUGCCCCGGGAUGGAGAAAGGCUGGGGUCAGAGUGCAUGCAUCCCCAUGGAAACAGCAAUGAGCCUGGCCCCUCAGGGACCCUGGCCCUGGCAGGGGAUGGGGCUCCUUCAGCUAAGGGGUCUGGGCCUUACCUUUGGCAGGAGCUCUUACAGGGAGGUCAAGCCAUGAGCUGCAGUACUUGUGGCAAGGAGGAGCAGGGAGGCAGAGCAUGCUUGGGCCAAGGCCGCCCUGGGGACAAGUAGGGGAGCUUAUAUUGUGUCUUCCAGAGCUGUAUGCCCAGAGUGGGUGGUUAACGUGACCCACUGCAAGACCUUGCGACCAGGGGACUCCCCAUGAAUCUUGAUCUUUUGUUCUGUUGUUGUGGGGCUUGGCCCAGGUCCAGCAACCAGGCCUGGAGUCCUCUGGUCCUAAAGGCCUUGCCCAGCUUGGCCUUGGCCUGAGAGCUGGGGGAGGGGGGUGCUGCUGUGGGAGCUGAGACAGAGGGCAGCUGAACCCCUCAAAAGGCCAGAGCAGGGUAGCUGUCCAUCAUCUGUAAUCACCUGCCUUUGAGUCCAGAAUUUUCAUCCAGAGAAAUGACAGGAGUCUCAAAGAAACCCAAGCAAGGUUCAGUCUUGGCUGCUGCCAUCUUUGGGUGGCCAGUAUCCCUCUGAGCCCACCAGGCUUGGGGCUUUGCCUCUCAGGGCCGUCGCCCACCUGCCCGAGACCUGUUUCUCAAGAACAUGCUUUCUCAGCCUGCAGUGCCAGGGAACUACCCAGACUCUACGAAUUUCCAAGCUCUGUAUGCACUGAAAUCAUUGCCACAGGGACAGCAGCCCACUUUUGGGAGCCUCAUAUGUGAGCACCUGUGGGGGUCCCAGUCACUGGAAAUACGGUCCCCACAGGGCAAGGCCCCUGGAGUGUGCAGGGCUGGGGGGCUGUCCUACUGGCCAGACUUGCUGAAAAGGGCUCAGGACCUCUAUCAGACAGCCAGGCAAAGCUUGCACUGGGCGGGAAAAGACCAGCCAGUCCCAAAUAACUUUCUUCAGGAAAAUCUAAACAUUCAUUUGCAUUCUUUGAAUAAAUUUGCAUAC